rnacentral:rRNA from 1 species
UACAGAGGGGGCAAGUCGUUGUUCGGAAUUACUGGGCGUAAAGGGCGCGUAGGCGGCCUUCUAAGUCGAACGUGAAAUCCCCGGGCUCAACCCGGGAACUGCGUCCGAUACUGGAAGGCUUGAAUCCGGGAGAGGGAUGCGGAAUUCCAGGUGUAGCGGUGAAAUGCGUAGAUAUCUGGAGGAACACCGGUGGCGAAGGCGGCAUCCUGGACCGGCAUUGACGCUGAGGCGCGAAAGCCAGGGGAGCAAACGGG